AGAGUUUGAUCAUGGCUCAGGAUGAACGCUAGCGACAGGCUUAACACAUGCAAGUCGAGGGGCAGCAUAAUUUGUAGCUAAUACAGAUUGAUGGCGACCGGCGCACGGGUGAGUAACGCGUAUGCAACGUUACCUAUCAGAGGGGGAUAGCCCGGCGAAACGUCGGAUUAAUACCCCAUAAAACAGGGGUCCCGCAUGGGAAUAUUUGUUAAAGAUUCAUCGCUGAUAGAUAGGCAUG
rnacentral:rRNA from 1 species